CGGACCGGCCGACCCAUC
rnacentral:siRNA from 1 species